rnacentral:rRNA from 1 species
GACGAACGCCUUAGGCGUGCUUAACACAUGCAAGUCGAACGGAAAGGCCCUGCUUUUGUGGGGUGCUCGAGUGGCGAACGGGUUAUUAACACGUGAGUAACCUGCCCUUGACUUUGGGAUAACUUCAGGAAACUGGGGCUAAUACCGGAUAGGAGCUCCUGCUGCAUGGUGGGGGUUGGAAAGUUUCGGCGGUUGGGGAUGGACUCGCGGCUUAUCAGCUUGUUGGUGGGGUAGUGGCUUACCAAGGCUUUGACGGGUAGCCGGCCUGAGAGGGUGACCGGCCACAUUGGGACUGAGAUACGGCCCAGACUCCUACGGGAGGCAGCAGUGGGGAAUAUUGCACAAUGGGCGGAAGCCUGAUGCAGCAACGCCGCGUGCGGGAUGACGGCCUUCGGGUUGUAAACCGCUUUCGCCUGUGACGAAGCGUGAGUGACGGUAAUGGGUAAAGAAGCACCGGCUAACUACGUGCCAGCAGCCGCGGUGAUACGUAGGGUGCGAGCGUUGUCCGGAUUUAUUGGGCGUAAAGGGCUCGUAGGUGGUUGAUCGCGUCGGAAGUGUAAUCUUGGGGCUUAACCCUGAGCGUGCUUUCGAUACGGGUUGACUUGAGGAAGGUAGGGGAGAAUGGAAUUCCUGGUGGAGCGGUGGAAUGCGCAGAUAUCAGGAGGAACACCAGUGGCGAAGGCGGUUCUCUGGGCCUUUCCUGACGCUGAGGAGCGAGAGCGUGGGGAGCGAACAGGCUUAGAUACCCUGGUAGUCCACGCUGUAAACGGUGGGUACUAGGUGUGGGGUCCAUUCCACGGGUUCCGUGCCGUAGCUAACGCUUUAAGUACCCCGCCUGGGGAGUACGGCCGCAAGGCUAAAACUCAAAGGAAUUGACGGGGCCCCGCACAAGCGGCGGAGCAUGCGGAUUAAUUCGAUGCAACGCGUAGAACCUUACCUGGGUUUGACAUGGAUCGGGAGUGCUCAGAGAUGGGUGUGCCUCUUUUGGGGUCGGUUCACAGGUGGUGCAUGCCUGUCGUCAGCUCGUGUCGUGAGAUGUUGGGUUAAGUCCCGCAACGAGCGCAACCCUUGUUCACUGUUGCCAGCACGUUAUGGUGGGGACUCAGUGGAGACCGCCGGGGUCAACUCGGAGGAAGGUGGGGAUGACGUCAAGUCCUCAUGCCCCUUAUGUCCAGGGCUUCACGCAUGCUACAAUGGCUGGUACAGAGAGUGGCGAGCCUGUGAGGGUGAGCGAAUCUCGGAAAGCCGGUCUCAGUUCGGAUUGGGGUCUGCAACUCGACCUCAUGAAGUCGGAGUCGCUAGUAAUCGCAGAUCAGCAACGCUGCGGUGAAUACGUUCCCGGGGCU